CGGGUGAGAGUAGAGUGGCGCACGGGUGAGUAACGCGUGGGAACCUGCCAAGCAGUGGGGAAUAACCUCGGGAAACUGAGGCUAAUACCGCAUACGCCCUUUUGGGGAAAGAUUUAUCGCUGUUUGAUGGUCCCGCGUCCGAUUAGCUAGUUGGUAAGGUAAUGGCUUACCAAGGCGACGAUCGGUAGCUGGUCUGAGAGGAUGAUCAGCCACACUGGAACUGAGACACGGUCCAGACUCC
rnacentral:rRNA from 1 species